rnacentral:lncRNA from 1 species
CAAACUUCCUAAGUCAUAUUCAUAUGCUUUGGCCAAAGACUCCCGAAUCAUAUCUUAGAGUAUUCUCCCUCCAUCAUGGAAGCUUAGAGAUCCCUUGUUGUGCAUUCAUAUGCCUACAUGACUAGAUAUCUUGACCCCAACAAUGUCGUGGGCACUCUCGAUGGAAUGCCUUUGACAUGAUCAAAGAUCAAUGACCUAACCAUUAGACAUCUAUGAUGCCUUAGGUCAAAGGACUACUUUGCAUAUUGCAACUAACAAGUUCUUACAUGACAUGUAUGUUCGAACUCUCUUUUGAUCAUUGUUCAGUGUACUCGAUUACCCUUUCAAGCACCUACGUGUUUGUCUGAGUGUCCAACACUAAAUGAUUUAAGACUAGUCAUACUCAUGCUUGAGUUGACAUAACACAUACUAACCUUAGCGGAUUGUCAAUGCCCAAUUGGCAUUCCUAUGGCUAGGAACGUUUUAGGAAUGAACAUAAGAGAAAGGUCUCAUUAAUCUAACUUACUUAGAUCACUUCUCUCUCAGAUUAAAUACUUUCCUUGGAUUCCUUUAUUGCUUAAACACAUGAUACAAUAAAUAGUGAUUAACAAUAAGCUUUGCCCUUCAUUAAACAUAUAAUAGUUUAAUACAAUAAGUAUUCCAAAAUCUAUUACAUCAAAUAAGUGGCUUUGUGGGCAUACUUACCGAGUCGUAGGUGAUCCGCGAUUAUUCGCACAGGCUUCACGUGAUCGUAGCACUUGAGCAUACUUAUUUACACCUAGCCCUGUCUUAUAGACCACAUUAGGUGGUUCCGAUUUGUGUGCAAGAAUUGGUUGAUGAGCUAUAGGUUUAGUCGUACAGGUCACAUUAGGUGACUCCGGCUGGCAUAUCAUUUUACAUUGAUUUAUUUCACGUGGCUUACUUAUUUCAUUGUUGAGAUACUUGACAUUGCAUAUACUUGGUUUUCACUACUCUCGAGCAUGAUUUCUAUAUACAUAUGUAUUAUUAUUUUCUGUGAAAUUAUACGGGUUUUAUGACAAGGGGUUAUAACGUUUUCAAAAGGUUUUUAUUAAAAACUUUAUUUUCAGGCCCACUCACCCUUGUUUUUGCGCCCCUCCUGGUUUUAGCUGCUGAAAGUCCGUAUUGACGAGGAUUCUUGGCAAAUCUUAGUAUAGGUGGCUACCUCUAAGGGUAUGAUCCUUACCCACACUACCGUACUUUACUUAUGCUCUGACGUCGUGUGUGAAAUGGGUUCAUUCCCACUCACAGCGCACUCUUGUCUUUAGGUACUUGUAGGUUUAAAUUUAUUCACAUUUUCCACAUCACUAUACUUUAUGGCUUCGUCACUUUCCAGAUGUCGGCCAACAUAGCUCGAUUCGAAGUUGAUGCGAAAAUUAACUUAACACACAAAUUUAACCCUCUUUUGACAAUUGUAGUAUAAGUAUAAGUAGGGAUCGUUCUGGACCGGGGAUCAGGAGGGCUUGCUAAUAACCUCUAAACUAACUCAAAAACAUAAAACUAAACUUAAAAACACUUAACAAGACUCACAAGACUUAAAGCAAACUUAAAAUACUCAAAACGGCUUAAAACAACCAAAUAAACUGAAACUAGACACUAGGAAUGACUUUGGAUGAAAAUUGACUUUUACUUGAAUCAAAACAUUUAAAAACACAAAUUAAAACAAAUUCUAACUAAUUAGACACACUAAAGUAAAGGGGGAGUGAGUUUUGGACGAAGUUGAAACAAACAAACAAGUAUGAAAACUAGACAGAUUGUAAAACAAAUUUGAGAAAUAAGAUGAUGGAUGGGAUAGCUAGAGGCUUUUUCUCCACACAUGAUAUGUAUGCAAACAACUCGAUUUCCAGUUACUACUUCAUUGAAUUAUGAACAACAAUGCUCCAAAUUAACCGUGACAUCACUAGUUAACUCUCAGAUUUUCCUUAUUUUAUUGGAUUGGAUGACAUCAUUUGACAACCCAAAACAUUCUUCAAAAGUCCCCUACAUGACAUCAUAAUAGAAAUACAAUCAAAGAUCAUUACGUUUAAUGAAAAUCAUAAGCAUUGACAAAGCACUUGCAACUAUGACAUCAUAUCACUCAUGCUAGGAAUUGAACUUAACACGAUCGUUUAUAAGUGACCUUCACUACAUGUGAAUAUAAGUUUGUAACGAUUAUGUGAAACUUCCUUAUACUCUAGCAACGGAUUUAUGCAUGCCAAUUAAGUGUCGACCCUUAAUUAACAAAUACAAAUAAGUUAUCAAUCAAA